UCAGGUGCAUUCAUUCUAUCUUAAAUUUCUCUCUCGCUGUUCAGUCCAGCAUUAAACUUUUAUUCAGUUGGGGCGGGAUUGGAUAUUAUAUGACACAUUAUGAAUUUAAAUAUAUUCAAAAUCUUGAAAUAUUUUAUAAAUAGUUUUCAUUUUUGGUUAACAAUAUUUUUGUCCAUGAUUUAUGUAUGUAUAGGUUUCUUCCCACAAAAGUAAACAAAAAUGAGGCAAAUCUACACUGAGUUCGAAAGCUAUUAAGAGGAAUAAUAGAGAGAGACAGAGGGCUCUAGAGAUGGGAAAGGAUUGGGAUAAAGAGAUUUACUUGGUCUGAUGUUAGUCUAAUUUGAAUGAGCUUCAAGAGAGCCAGAACUCAAAUGGAGGCAUGACAACUGAGAUGUUUUUGGAAAAUGCACUUUUUUUACUUUGCUGGUCAGGAGACCACAGCCAAUUUGCUAACAUGGACAAUGGUAGUGUUGAGCGCAUUGAAUUGGCAAGACGACUAGAGAAGAAGUCCUGCAAAUUCUUGGGAAAAACAAACCAACUUUUGAUGACUUGAACCACUUGAAGAUUGUGAAUUGAUCCUGCUCGAGGUUCUCAGAUUGUAUCCUCCAACUUUACUUCUUCGAACCGUAGUAAAAGAAACCAAAUUGGGAGAUCUCUGUUUCCAGCAGGAGUGGAUUUGUUGAUGCCAAUGGACCUUGUCCAUAGGGAUCCGAACAAGGGGGAGGAGAUGCAUGGAGUUCAACCCAAAAGUUUUCUGAAGGAAUUUCAAAGGCUUCUAAGGAUCAAGUCUCGUACUUCCCUUUCGGUUACGGACCAAGAAUAUGCAUCGGGCAAAACUUUGCAAUGCUUGAGGCAAAACUGGCGUUAUCUCAAAUCUUACAGAUUUCUCAUUUGAGUUGUCAUCUACAUAUACUCAUCUCCUGCCAUUGUCUCACGCUUAAACCUCAAUAUGGCGCUCAGAUCAUCUUGCAUAAAAUUUGAAGGAUAUUUUAUCACCAAUCUAAAAGUUUGGCCCAAUACAUUUCUUGAUAAUAUUGAUCAUCCUUAGAUCAUGUGCAAUAUAGUAGUUAUACAUAAAUGACUGUAUACUUUGUUUUGAGAGCAAUACUUAGAUAUCGUGGGGAGAUUGUCUAAUAAAUAGUAUUAUAUGUUGUCAUAUAUAUCCUGAACUUUCUCUUUCAUCCACUUGUAGGAUGAUUGAUUAAUAACUAUUUUAUAUUGUUCAUUAAUAACUACCAUUAUGAUAGAUGAUUAUGAAACUGACUUUAUAUUUCAUUAUAUCAUUGAAUGGUAAGACAGUCUCAAAUAAGUUUUUUUCUAUUUUUGGA